CGACAGAGCGUCUCUUCCUCUGAUUUUUUUCUAUCACACAGAGGAUGGUACACCUUUCAUUCCGGGAGGAAGCAGCAAGUUGAAUAGCAGUCACCGCAUCCCGCUGCAACUUGUCGAGGCAUUUGUUUCCGCCUCACGACAGCAAAGAAGUCAGAGCAGAGCAACGGAGCUGGACAGAGACUAAUGUUGGGUGGCACAGUAAAGACAACCUGAAGGACCUGAGCGCCAUCAUUCGCACAGAGUGGCAGCGAGGUCAUCUGGCAAAGGGAUGGUUCGUCCUAUUCCUGUCUUUGAAGCACUGAUGGAGUUGUCAUGAUGGCCAAAGUAAUACCGGAGGACCUUUGAAGAAUGAACUUUCCAAACCACUGGAUUGUUCUGGAAGGAAAAGCCAUUGAAGAUCAAACAAAAUCACAGACAGUAAAAUUAGUUGGCCUUUUCUCAGCUCAAGGAUUCUGCUUCAGGAGGCAAAACUAUUCAUGAUUUUUCAGGAACUGGACUACAGAAGAGUUUUCUUUGCAAAGAAGUCCAAUAUAGUAAUUUUUACACAGCUUAGUAUUAAACCACCCGAAACAUGCACCAACCAUUGAAAG